CCAGCAGCCGCGGUAAUACGUUCCCGCGCCUUGUACACACCGCCCGUCACGCCAUGGAAGUUCGGAGCGCCCCGAAGUCGGUGUCCCCCCCUCGCAAGAGACCAAGCCGCCGAAGGCGAGCCGGGUGACUGGGGCGAAGUCGUAACAAGGUAGCCGUAGGGGAACCUGCGGCUGGAUCACCUCCUUUCCGGAGAAACGAGUAGAGAUCACCUCGGUGAACUCGAAAGUUCUCAAGGAUUUGUCGCACGCCUCCACAUUCAAGAUCUCAACUCGGUUGUUCCGCUGUUUGACAACGGAUGGUAGGUGUAGAUCGUUGGGAAAGCGAAUCCAAAACGAGAAAUGACGUUUCGUAGUUACUCGUUAUGAGAAGUCGCGCGUGCUCUGCUUGGAUAUCUGAAGAGGUAGUCAAGCGAGCGAAGGCAUGUGGGGGAUACCUAGGCACACAGAGA
rnacentral:misc_RNA from 1 species